GCUGCCGACCGCGCAUGCGCAGGUUCCCGCGAGGUACGUUCGCACCCCCCGUCCCCCCGUUCUUCAAAAGGCGCGGAAAGAUCGAGAACGUUCUGCGGCAAAGACCCUACAGCUCAGCUGCGCGGUAGGACCCAAAGAUUUAUAGAGCGGAAUCUUUAGAUAGACUCCAUUUUGAACAAAUUGAACAGUCUUCAUUGACAACUGAGAUUGUGUUUAGGCUUUUUU